CUUCAAUCUUACAAGUAUUGAUCCAUUUCAACAAAAAGGUAAAUUUAAAAUGCAGACUUUGUUACUUGUCAAAGAAGAUUCAUGAAAAAUUUAUAUCCAAUUAUUUUCCAAAUAGUUAACUUAAUUUGGCUUUUUACCACAUUCCUUCCUUUCUUUCCCGACUUCUUUAAUGUAAUUUAAACCCUGGAAAACAUUCUUUAGAAACCAAGAGGAAAAGAAGAACACAUAUCAAAAAAGACAUAUAACUUAAAAUGGUACAUUUCACAUCUAAAAUGGGUUUGAAGAAACGCAACUUUAUAUCAUUAAAAAAUAAGAUCAUCUGAUUUCCUUUAUUUCUUUUUUAAAUUAUGUAAUCAGAUGAUUUUAUAUUUUUUGGGGGGGGCGGAAUAUUGGUUUCUUUUACUUGAUGUUUUCAGUUUUCUCUGGCAUUCAAGUUUCUUUUUUGUGUUCAGUGUUUCAAAUACAAUUUGUAUUUAAGGAUUUUAAAAUACCAAACUGUAAAUGAGUACAGUGGAUCUUUUUCUGUUAGGAUGUUAAUAUUAUACAAUGAAAUCUAUAAAGUGUUGUCAAUUUGAUCAUUGACACAUAUGACACGUUUACAAUUAAACUGUGGUGUUGAUCAAGUUAAAAAAAA
rnacentral:lncRNA from 1 species